AUACGGGGGGGGCGAGCGUUGUCCGGAAUCAUUGGGCGUAAAGGGUGAGUAGGCGGGAUGGUAAGUCAGAGGUGAAAGUCCAGGGCUCAACUCUGGAUCUGCCUCUGAUACUGCUGUCCUUGAGUGCGGGAGAGGGAAGUGGAAUUCCCGGUGUAGCGGUGAAAUGCGUAGAUAUCGGGAAGAACACCAGUGGCGAAGGCGGCUUCCUGGCCCGCAACUGACGCUGAAUCACGAAAGCGUGGGGAGCAAACAGGAUUAGAAACCCCAGUAGUCC
rnacentral:rRNA from 1 species